rnacentral:tRNA from 1 species
GGCUGGAUGGCUCAGUUGGUAGAGCAUGUGACUCUUGAUUUCAGGGUUGUGAGUUUGAGCCCCACUUUGGGCG